GACGAACGCUGGCGGCGUGCUUAACACAUGCAAGUCGAACGGUGAAGGGACUGGUUUUGCUGGUCCUGGAUGAGUGGCGAACGGGUGAGUAACACGUGAGUAACCUGCCCCCUUCUUCUGGAUAACCGCAUGAAAGUGUGGCUAAUACGGGAUAUUCUGGGUCUGUCGCAUGGUGGGCCUGGGAAAGAUUGCGCCUUUUUUGGUGUUUUUGGUGGGGGUUGGGCUCGCGGCCUAUCAGCUUGUUGGUGGGGUGAUGGCCUACCAAGGCGGUGACGGGUAGCCGGCCUGAGAGGGUGGACGGUCACACUGGGACUGAGACACGGCCCAGACUCCUACGGGAGGCAGCAGUGGGGAAUAGUGCACAAUGGGCGCAAGCCUGAUGCAGCGACGCCGCGUGAGGGAUGGAGGCCUUCGGGUUGUGAACCUCUUUCGCCAGUGAAGCAGGCCUGCCUCUUUUUGUGGGUGGGUUGACGGUAGCUGGAUAAGAAGCGCCGGCUAACUACGUG
rnacentral:rRNA from 1 species